UGGUAAGGCCAGGCCGGACUCGAGUGGUCUGGCUGCCAGGCGGCAGGAGGGGAAGCCGAUGCCAGGCCAGCCCAUGGCUCCGCUGCUGAAAUCCUGCUGCUGCUGUGCUCCACCCACAGUCAUCAGGCCAGGCCGGCUCUGCUGGGCUCCAGGCCUGGCCGGCCCCAUUCCAGAUGCAAACUGCCGAGCCAUCCUGCUGGGGGCUGUCCUGGUGCCAACAGGGCACCGUGCGGCUGAGACCAGUGAGCAGCUCUGCAGUCUGUGUAGGAAGUGGCCCUAUGGCUGGAACUGGGAGCGGCCAGGGCCAGAAAACAGCCAUACGGCCACAGCGGCCGCCGCCACCCUAGGCCAGCCAGCGAGCGACUUUGCGUGCCUGUCUGCUUCUAAUCUGCCUCACUGCAGACAAAAGGACAGAAAAACAGCGGCCGGUGAGGAUUGUGCAGCGCUGCGGACGAUCACAUGACCAGAAGCAGAACGUGCAAUUCCGUGAUGCAGGGCCUGGAUGAGAUUAACCCUUUCCAUGCUGUAAAACGCUACUUGAGAAGAGAUAAAACCUACAGAUGCCAAUCUUCUUCUGAGUGAGAGAAAAGGAAAGGUGAAGGCACCUGAAGAAAAAAACAGGGCGACACCAAGGUCAGUGAAGAAUGAGGGGCCGAAGCCCGGAAGAAAGGAGAGGAGAUGUUCCGGUUUUGGAGCUGAAAACCUUUGGCAAGCCAAGCUACCAGUGUGCCACGGAGACUCCAGGGACACACUCUGAACGCCUUCUCCCCCUUCGGCUACGAGGAGAAAGCUACAACAGCGGGAGCGAGCUCCAUGUCGAGCUCCCUGCCAAGCUGACUUUUUAAUAAAGAGCUAAACAUCAAUAAAGGCAUAGACCCUGUUCAUUACUAUUUGGGGGCUCAUCCGGGAUAGCCACACCCGAAGAGGAUCCCUGGACAGCUCGACCACCUGCUUCGAGGGACCCUUGGGAUAUGCUGGCUACCGGACCCUAGGAUCAGCGUGAGACGAGCAACACAGAUGAGCCACGCGAAGGAGCGUCACAGAGGUCUACUCGUCCCUGCCAUUCCAGCUUGCUGCUUCCGAGGUUCCUGCUACAGCUCAUUUUGCUAUCCGGAGGGGCACUGGGACUAACUGCCCCUGCGUGAGUUUGUAAAGGAAGCCCCUUUUCCAUCUCUUCUGCUGGCUAUGCCUGCCAUUACCCAGGUGAGAGACAGCUGAGGUCAUGCCACAGCACCUCCUGCAGCCGCGAGUGAAUCAUUGCACCUGCCCUUCCCAGCCAGGAGUCAACAGUGCCCCUGCCGGCCGUGACCGUAACUACACCAAAGGGGAAAGUGCUUGACAGCUGACAGAAGGCUGUUACUGGGUUUUCUGGUUUUGUUUGUUUGCCUUGUUAUGCAUAUACAUAUUAGUAAAGAACUGGGUUUUUUUUUUCCCAUAUCUUUGCCUGAGAGCCCCUUAACUUCAAAGUUAUAGUAAUUUGGAGGGCAGGGGGUCAUAUUUUCCAUCCCAGGGGAGGUUCCCACCUUCCUUAGCGGACACCUGUCUUUCAAACCAAGACAGCCCUGAGCAAUCUGAUUGAAUUACCAAGCUACCUCCCUGCUCUGGACAAACAGCUGAACCAGAAAGCCUCUGAGGUUCCCUCUCAACCUAAAUUUUUCUCUCUCACUCUCUUUCCAACUUUGCUCUUUCAGCACCUUCCAUGACCACAGGAGUGAGGAUUCCCAAGAUAAUCCAUGCAGAUAACCUCCUGGGACAGGAGGUCACACUACCUACAGACAAACUGGGCAGUGGAUGUGGGCUCCUUUGCAAGACAUAUAUAUUGCAGGACAAGAAUAGAAUAGAAUAGAAUAGAAUAGAAUAGAAUAUAAUAGAAUAGAAUAGAAUAGAAUAGAAUAGAAUAGAUAGGAAUAGAAUAAUUUCAGUUUGAAGUGGCCUACAAUGAUCAUUUAGUCCAACUGUAGAAAAAUAAGAACCCAUAACAUCCUUUAAAAAUCCGUAGAAUGUGAUGGCUAAUGAGGUGUUGAAAUAAGUUUUCAGGGAUGCAGAGAAUAUCUAUGCCAUCCUACUGCUAGCCUCACUGCUAAGACACUGGGGCAUUUAUAAUCCUGUAACAACAGAUACAAAUUCCAGUAGGAGAAAACCAUCUAAAUAGCUAUAUUGCCAAAGAGAAUUCAUACCUGUCUUAAGUUGCAAUGCAAGGUGUAACCAAAAGUAUGUAUUCUAUUACUAUCUGUUAAAACCAGGUGGGGCAGUGUUCUUUAUCUCUUCCACAAUCCUCCCUCCAGGGGGAUAUCUUCUGUUAAUUGAGUCUCACUGCAUGACUGAUAAAAUUACACCAUCCCAUUGUCAGAUGCUCCACCCAAGGGGAGGAGCCAAGCAUUCCUACCUGGAUAUAAUCAGAGAUUUGGAACACCACAGGCAGCCUUUUUCAACUACAUUCGCAGAAGACCAGACCCUUCUACAUCACCACUGGACCUUCAGAGGAAACCUACAACCUUGUACAGGAUCACUGCUUCAACAGAACCACAUCUGUCACUCCAGGAGGACUGCAGCCGCCACUUAAUCAGACUUCUACCAACACCCUGACCAACAAGGUGUUAGGUUGUAUUCUGACUCUGACAGUGUUUUUUGUACUACUGCAUUUUAUUUUAAUUUUCCUAAUAUAUUGUAGGGUUUUUUUUAUUUAUACAUACUAGUAAAAAACUGUUACUCCUAUUCUCAUAUCUUUGCCUGAGAGCUCCUUAAUUUCAAAAUUAUAAUAAUUUGGAAGAAAGGAGUUUGCAUUUUCCAUUCCAAGAGAAGCUACUGCCUUCCUUAGAAAACACUUGUCUUUCAAACCAAGACAAUACCCUAACAUCAAAAAAGCAGCUUCUGCUCUCAGUGCAAACAAGGAAAACAAAACCAGGCCAGUAAGAUGGGUGCAGUAGAGGGUUUGGGAGUACCUCAGCACAAACAUAGCACAAGAGCACAAGGGGUAGAAGAAAUACUUACUUUGUCAAAGAUCUCACGUACGUUGGCUUCAGACUCACCAAACCACAUGGUGAGCAAUUCCGGCCCCUUGAUGGAAA